UUUUUUUUUUUAAAGAUGGAGUCUCUCUAUGUUGCCCAGGCAGAACUCGAACUCCUGGGCUCAAGUGAUCCUUCUGCCUUGGCCUCCAGACUAGCUCUGCCUAACUAGAUGAACUGAAUUUUAUCUCUAAAUAUUCUUUUCUUCCUUCCCCGCUCCCUCGCUCCCUUCUUUCCUUCCCCCUGCCUCCCUCUCUCCCUUCCUUCCUUCCUUCUUUCCUUCCUUCCUUCCCUCCCUCUCUCCUUCCUUCCUUACCUCUCUCCUCUCUCUCCUUCCUUCCUUCUCCCCUCCAUCCCUCCUUCCUUCCUUCCUCUUCCUUCCUUCGCUCCCUCCCUCCCUCCCUCCCUCCCUCCCCCUCCCUCCCUCCCUUCCUCCCUCCCCCUCCCUUCCUUCCUUUCCUUCCUCCCCUCCCUCCCUCCUUCCUUCUUUCCCUUCUUCCUCCUUCCCUCCCUCAAACAGUAGACCUUGAGUUUCAGGAGACGGUUUUAGUUGUUACCUGGUUCGAGCCUGGCUUUUGCAGGCUGUGUGACACUGGGAAUACAGAUAUGUUCACAGCGCUCAAAAGAAAAGUGAUACUGAACUUAUGAAGCAGAUAAAUUAGGGGUGAUUAUUCUCAUUACAAAAGGAUACACUACAGGGAUUCUUUAAGUGAAUGUUAGCCAAGGACAGAGACUGGGUCUGUCUUCACUGUUGGCUUCUCAGCCCCUUACAUGGGAACUGGCAC
rnacentral:lncRNA from 1 species